rnacentral:rRNA from 1 species
AUUGAACGCUGGCGGCAUGCCUUACACAUGCAAGUCGAACGGCAGCACGGGAGCAAUCCUGGUGGCGAGUGGCGAACGGGUGAGUAAUAUAUCGGAACGUGCCCAGUCGUGGGGAUAACGUAGCGAAAGCUACGCUAAUACCGCAUACGAUCUAUGGAUGAAAGCGGGGGAUCGCAAGACCUCGCGCGAUUGGAGCGGCCGAUAUCAGAUUAGGUAGUUGGUGAGGUAAAGGCUCACCAAGCCGACGAUCUGUAGCUGGUCUGAGAGGACGACCAGCCACACU